GACGAACGCUGGCGGCGUGCCUAAUACAUGCAAGUUGAGCGCUGAAGGUUGGUACUUGUACCAACUGGAUGAGCAGCGAACGGGUGAGUAACGCGUGGGGAAUCUGCCUUUGAGCGGGGGACAACAUUUGGAAACGAAUGCUAAUACCGCAUAAAAACUUUAAACACAAGUUUUAAGUUUGAAAGAUGCAAUUGCAUCACUCAAAGAUGAUCCCGCGUUGUAUUAGCUAGUUGGUGAGGUAAAGGCUCACCGAGGCGAUGAUACAUAGCCGACCUGAGGGGGUGAUCGGCCACAUUGGGACUGAGACACGGCCCAAACUCCUACGGGAGGCAGCAGUAGGGAAUCUUCGGCAAUGGACGAAAGUCUGACCGAGCAACGCCGCGUGAGUGAAGAAGGGUUUCGGAUCGUAAAACUCUGUUGGUAGAGAAGAACGUUGGUGAGAGUGGAAAGCUCAUCAAGUGACGGUAACUACCCAGAAAGGGACGGCUAACUACGUG
rnacentral:rRNA from 1 species